rnacentral:rRNA from 1 species
CCAGACUCCUACGGGAGGCAGCAGUGGGGAAUCUUCCGCAAUGGGCGCAAGCCUGACGGAGCAACGCCGCGUGAAUGAAGAAGGUCUUCGGAUCGUAAAGUUCUGUUCUUAGGGAAGAAGUCUUUUCUUGUGAAUAAUGGGAGAAGGUGACGGUACCUAUGGAGAAAGCUCCGGCUAGCUACGUGCCAGCAGCCGCGGUAAUACGUAGGGGGCAAGCGUUAUCCGGAUUUACUGGGUGUAAAGGGAGCGUAGACGGUGAAGCAAGUCUGAAGUGAAAGGCGGGGGCUCAACCCCCGGACUGCUUUGGAAACUGUUUGACUGGAGUGCAGGAGAGGUAAGUGGAAUUCCUAGUGUAGCGGUGAAAUGCGUAGAUAUUAGGAGGAACACCAGUGGCGAAGGCGGCUUACUGGACUGUAACUGACGUUGAGGCCCGAAAGCGUGGGGAGCAAACAGGAUUAGAUACCCGGGUAA